GUCUGACCCAUUUCUGCAGCUCCAGGACCUUGAAUGAGGUUUGACACAAAGGAAUGCUUAAGGACUGUUUCUUGAGUGAACCUUACUUUCUCGGCUGCUGCCCUUGACUUCUGGAGAUCUCAGUGCCUGGCCCUACACUGACAGUUGGUUUCAUGUCCCACUGGAGGAAAAAAAUGGAUAUAAUACAAUAAUAAAGAUAGGUACUAGAUUUUGAGCAACUAGUAUAUAUCAGAUAUAAUACCAGCCACUUUAAUCAGAUUUUCUGUAAAUUCAUGCAACUCUGGGGGUUGGGCUUGAUAAUUUUCCUUUUGCAGAUGCAAAAACUGAUGUGCAGAGAGACUAAAUCUUUUACCUGGAUGUAUUUUGUUAGUCAGUGAAAGAACGGACAUUUGAACCCAGGAAGUGUGGCUCCAAUGCCCGGAGCCUUUUACUGAGGUUCACUGGAAAUAAGAGGUGUACCUGUGAAUUGUCCUUCAGAACUGAGGAAAUGAACCCUGAUCUAAGAUGGUCUUGGAAUUCAAGCCUUGCAAACCCACAUCUCCAGGAAGGCAGGCCUUGGAACGGCAGGAAAGGAGAAGAGACAUGGAGACAGAGACACCAGGGAGAAUGCCACUUGGUGAUAGAGGCAGAAGAUGGGGUGAUAGAAGAAGGAAUGCCACAGUUUGAUGACCUCCCCCAGAAGCUAAGAGAAAGGAUUGGGCAGUAUUUCUACACACAGUCCUAAAAGAUGACUCAAGAGUGACCUGUGUCCUGUGUUAUUGACUGCUUCUGAAGAUCCAUCAGCCUUGGAAAAAAUAUAAGAACACAGCCCCAGGCUAACUAAGGGGCAACAGGCCAUUAGUCAAGAUAGGAUGCCUUCUGGAUGGAAAUUGCUGAGUGGGACCCCUCUGUCAUCUCACGGCAGUUAUGAUUCAUAAUCUUGCACUGUGACUCUUUGGCUGGAUAUCAGCAGGCUUCCUGGGAGACAGGUUUUGGGGAAAGGACACAGGUGCCUGCAUGGAACUGGCCCUUGUCCUGCUCAUCACAAAUGACUGCCCGGUGUCCCCCUCAUCCCCCACCCUCUGGACUUCAGGACUUCCUACGCAGGAGCCCAGCCCUGGACAGUGACGGUGACCCAUGGAGAAUCAUGCCUGUCAGGGUCCUACUGCUUCAGCGGCUGGGGAGGCGAUAUCCUGCUGGGAGAGAGAACUUCCCUUGAAGAUGGAUGGCCUUGCACUCCUGACAGCUCUCCAGCUGUGGGAGAUCGGGGGCCCCGCUGUGGGAGAGAAGGGCCAAUGUGUGUUAAGUGGCCAUUGGGCCCAGUGGGGGAGGACAAGGGGAACAUGGACGCUUAGCUCACUUUGUUUCAGUCACCCCCAGCCCUGCAGACGGACAUGCCAUCUCUCCUUGGAGAGGCAAACGUCAGCUGCCCAAGCAUCGCUUUGUGUACUGGGGAGGCUCCAGGCUUAUAGGCAUGCAUUUUGGGUCCAUUGUUUUCAGAAAGAGUGCCCUCUUUGCCCUUACCUUGGUCACUAAACUUGGACCCUUACUUCACUUCCCUCCUCAGGUCUGUGUUUCUUAACCACAGAAGGGAAAUCAUCAUACCCGCUUCCUUAAAAUAUGCAGUGAAUUCUAAGAGAUACGCAUGUGAGGCCUCUAGAGAGGGCCAUAAAGCAAGAUGGUCAAAUGUUCUCUGUAAAGAGCCAGCUGGGAAAUAUCUUGGGGUUUGUGGUCCAUGUGCCAUGUGGUUUCUGUUAUAACUAUUCAACUCCACCAUUGUAGCAGUAAAGCAGCCAUAGAUAUGUAAAUGAAGGGCUGUGUUCCAGUAAAGUUCCAAUAAAACUUUAUUUGUAAAACCAGGCACUAGGCAGUACGAUUUGCCCCAUGAGUCAUAGUUUGCAAGCCUUAGAGUGUAGUCCUCUAGUGCAGGGGCUCUGGGUCCUCCUGGCUGUGCCUGGGUUUGAAUCUCAACUCUGCGACUCCCUAGCUGUGAGACAUUUCUUCAUGUAAUGACAGUUUUAAGAAAGAUAUUUUGAUGAGUUACACAUUUAUAGGCAAAGGAGUUCCAAGAGUGUCUGGCAUCUAUUAGUCAAAAUAUGUGUUUCCCUUCACUUGUGUUAUUCCAAAGAGGAGUAAAACAUGGCCUCUGCCCUCAGAGAUAAACAAAUCUAGGGGGACAAAAGAAAGCAGGAUACAGCAUAGCAUAGUACCCCCUGACAAUGAGAAGACUUUGGGCCAAGCCUUACGGAAAUACUGUGGAGUGGAUGGUGUAUUAUUCCCUUUGGAUUGCAGGGAACACUUUGGAGAGGAAACUUUUGAGUUGGACCUUGAAGGAUGAAUAGGAGUUUUCUAGGGAGAGAAGAGGAGAAAAAAUACCAAGUCAGUGGAACAGAAUGGGCAAAUCCACAGAGAUUUGAAGAAUCACAGCACAGUCUAUGUGGGUAGAGAGGUUUUGGGAAAGUGAAGGAUGAUAUGACGGACAGCCAAUGGUUGCCAAAUUAUGCCAAGCCUGGAACGCCUAGAGAACCAACGCCCCUCCAUAGUUCUCUAACAUUUCGUAAGAUCAGACCUCUCUCCUUUUCUCCAAACCCUUUCCAUUUCAGUGCAGCUUUCAAGAAUUUUCCGUUGUUUAAACCUUCUCUUUACCUUCUGUACCCAGCAGUGUAGCUGCACUUACAAGGAAGCCAUCAAGUGUGUAUUUUCAAAAAUGCAUGACAGUGAGAGCCAGCAACACAUUCUGGCUUUAAGGCCUUUUCUCAUGGCAGUUUCCCCAGGAAGCAGACGUUGAGAUGGAGGUGAGCCUCUGAGGAGUGAGGCAGCCCCAGAGAGACUGGCAGCUGAGGCCUGGCAGACGGCAGCCCUCCUAGCAGCUGGGAACACAGGUCCUUCAUUCCUGAGAGGGGAGGAGGGUAUGCAUGGCAGCAUCCAGGACCAAUACUGUGGUUUCUAUUAGAAAUGGAAACUGGGCACAGAGAGGUGACAUAAAUUGCUCAAGAUCUUGUAAUGUGGAAGGAAACAUGCUAGGAUUCAAAUCUCAGUCAGUUGGACUCCAAAUUCCUUUUGGGCCUGCUACACUCAGAACUUAGCAGAAGACAUGCUUCAGGGAGCAUAUUUGCCCACUCUGA